CCGCGCCCUGCCACACUCAACAAUAUCUCUUUCCAAAUAUAAUGACUUGGUUACUCAUGAAAAUCCACAGACCUUAUUGUGCCCAGUUUCUGCUUUUCACAGUAGUCAAAUCUCAGUGCGAAAGUAUCUGGAUGGAUACAUAGCACUCUGGAAAAAAACAAACACUGUUUAAGAAAAGAUGAUGACCAAAAAGGGAUUGAACCAAGCGAGGGACAAACUUGAGUAAUCGGUUCGGCUUUUCAGCAAUGGCGAGAGUUCAGGAAUUUGAAGGGCUUCAAAAGUGAGCUUGCAGUAUUUUUGCUGGACAGUGCUCAGAUGUCAGGCAGCGCUUGUUGGCUGGACCACAACAGCGGGACCAGCCCUACAAACGCGAAUGUCUGUGACUGACUGAGUGACUGAGUGAUGAAGUUACACCAUUGCUCGGCCGAGUUAUGGAGUUACACCAUAACUCGGCCGGAGAGGUCCAGCCAUUUACUAGGUUUUGACAUGGUCUUGUUUGGAGUGUUUGGAGGACAGGGCAUUGGAUGGAGGGGGUGGAAUUGUUUUUUUUUUUUUCAAAAUCUCUAGCUUGGUUUUUCCAAGGUUACAUACUGAUACUUCGAGAAGAAAUAAAAAAUGAACAUGAA